GAACGUAUAGCUCAAUGGUAGAUUACAUGUUUACCAUGCAUGAGGUUCUGAGUUCAAUCCCCAGUACCUCCA
rnacentral:tRNA from 1 species